UAGUAGAUGACUUCAGUAAGGCAAGGCAAAAGCUGAAGGACUACAACAGAAAUGGAACGGCAGUCCUCCAGUCAGAGGAUGAGGGCCCCAUGGCAAAAAGGAGAAGAAAAGCGACACAUCACCCAGGAUUUGAAAACGCAGUACUGACUCUGAAACUGAGCAGACUCCAAAAAGAAGACCAGAGUCUCGGCCUCGGCCUCAACCUCUCCCUCUUAGCGCUACCCUUCCUAGUCUCCCUCCAGCCCCCCUCUCGGAUAUUGCAGUGGACAUGGGUCAGGAGUCUCUGGACAAUACAAGACAGGGAACCUAUACAGACAUAAGCUGGAAUGUGAGGAGGGAGUCAGACCCCUUCAAUG